UAUUUGAGGUGUUAAUGGUUUUUGG
rnacentral:piRNA from 1 species